AACGAACGCUGGCGGCGUGCCUAACACAUGCAAGUCGUGCGAGAAAGUUCCUUCGGGAGCGAGUAAAGCGGCGCACGGGUGAGUAACACGUAGGUAACCUGCCCCCCAGUCUGGAACAACUAGAGGAAACUCUAGCUAAUGCCGGAUGAGACCACGAUCCCCUUCGGGGGUUGCGGCCAAAGAUGGCCUCUACUUGUAAGCUAUCGCUGAGGGAUGGGCCUGCGGGCCAUUAGCUUGUUGGUGAGGUAACGGCUCACCAAGGCUGUGAUGGCUAGCUGGUCUGAGAGGAUGACCAGCCACACUGGGACUGAGACACGGCCCAGACUCCUACGGGAGGCAGCAGUGGGGAAUAUUGCGCAAUGGGCGAAAGCCUGACGCAGCGACGCCGCGUGGGUGAUGAAGGCC
rnacentral:rRNA from 1 species